UACGAAGGGGGCUAGCGUUGUUCGGAAUUACUGGGCGUAAAGCGCACGUAGGCGGAUACUUAAGUUAGGGGUGAAAUCCCAGGGCUCAACCCUGGAACUGCCUUUAAUACUGGGUAUCUCGAGUCCGAGAGAGGUGAGUGGAAUUCCGAGUGUAGAGGUGAAAUUCGUAGAUAUUCGGAGGAACACCAGUGGCGAAGGCGGCUCACUGGCCCGUUACUGACGCUCAGGCGCGACAGCGUGGGGAGCAAACAGG
rnacentral:rRNA from 1 species